rnacentral:rRNA from 1 species
UACGUAGGGGGCGAGCGUUGUCCGGAAUUACUGGGCGUAAAGGGUGCGUAGGUGGCCUUUUAAGUUGGAUGUGAAAUACCCGGGCUUAACUUGGGGGGUGCAUCUAAUACUGGAGGGCUAGAGUGCAGGAGAGGGAAGCGGAAUUCCUAGUGUAGCGGUGAAAUGCGUAGAUAUUAGGAGGAACACCAGUGGCGAAGGCGGCUUUCUGGACUGUAACUGACACUGAGGCACGAAAGCGUGGGGAGCAAACAGGAUUAGAUACCCUGGUAGUCCACGCUGUAAACGAUGAAUACUAGGUGUAGGGGGUAUCAACUCCCCCUGUGCCGGAGCUAACGCAAUAAGUAUUCCGCCUGGGGAGUACGGCCGCAAGGUUG